rnacentral:rRNA from 1 species
GCCAACGAGUUACGUUAAGUAGCAAGGUUAAGCACUUAAGGUGCGGAGCCGUAGCGAAAGCGAGUUUUAACUGAGCGUUCAGUUACUUGACGUAGACCCGAAACCGGGCGACCUACCCAUGAGCAGGCUGAAGCGAAAGUAAAAUUUCGUGGAGGUCCGAACCCACGAGCGUUGAAAAGCUCGGGGAUGACUUGUGGGUAGCGGUGAAAUUCCAAUCGAGCCCGGAGAUAGCUGGUUCUCCCCGAAAUAGCUUUAGGGCUAGCCUCAAGGUGAGAGAUACGGAGGUAGAGCACUGAAUGUCCUAGGGGGUAUUGCACCUACCGAAGACUAUCAAACUCCGAAUGCCGUCAUCUUAUACUUGGGAGUCAGACUGUGGGUGAUAAGAUUCAUAGUCGAAAGGGCAACAGCCCAGAUCGUCAGCUAAGGUCCCUAAAUGUAAGUUAAGUGGUAAAGGAUGUGGGAUUGCACAGACAACCAGGAUGUUGGCUUAGAAGCAGCCACUCAUUCAAAGAGUGCGUAAUAGCUCACUGGUCGAGUGAUCCUGCGCCGAAGAUUUCCGGGGCUAAAACUUACUACCGAAGCUACGGCAUCAGUAAUGAUGGGUAGGGGAGCUUCCCAUACGGGUUGAAGCAUGACCGUAAGGACAUGUGGACAGUAUGGGAGUGAGAAUGUUGGCAUGAGUAGCGAGAUGUGGGUG